GUUACAGAGCUUUCACUCCAGCAUCUGAAAAAGGCACCAACUCCUGCUAAAUCUUGAGAACUGACACGCUGAAGCCUUAUCUUCAGACUCUGGAAAAGGCCGGAAGCUUAUCAUGGGCCUGGAUCUUGUGCUAUUCAAAUGUUUUCACCGAUGGCUACAACUGUAUUUGGCACAUAGAAGAUCCAAGAGACAUUGAGAGUCUGAGACCUUUUAAAGUCCAGGGGGGAAAAACACAUUUACUGCU